rnacentral:tRNA from 1 species
GGGAUUGUGGCUUAGCGGUAGAGCACUCGCCUAGCAUGUGCAAGGCCCUGGGUUCAAUUCUCAGCACCA